rnacentral:rRNA from 1 species
CUCAGGAUGAACGCUGGCGGCGUGCCUAAUACAUGCAAGUCGAGCGAACAGAUAAGGAGCUUGCUCCUUUGACGUUAGCGGCGGACGGGUGAGUAACACGUGGGUAACCUACCUAUAAGACUGGAAUAACUCCGGGAAACCGGGGCUAAUGCCGGAUAACAUAUAGAACCGCAUGGUUCUAUAGUGAAAGAUGGUUUUGCUAUCACUUAUAGAUGGACCCGCGCCGUAUUAGCUAGUUGGUAAGGUAAUGGCUUACCAAGGCGACGAUACGUAGCCGACCUGAGAGGGUGAUCGGCCACACUGGAACUGAGACACGGUCCAGACUCCUACGGGAGGCAGCAGUAGGGAAUCUUCCGCAAUGGGCGAAAGCCUGACGGAGCAACGCCGCGUGAGUGAUGAAGGGUUUCGGCUCGUAAAACUCUGUUAUUAGGGAAGAACAUAUGUGUAAGUAACUGUGCACAUCUUGACGGUACCUAAUCAGAAAGCCACGGCUAACUACGUGCCAGCAGCCGCGGUAAUACGUAGGUGGCAAGCGUUAUCCGGAAUUAUUGGGCGUAAAGCGCGCGUAGGCGGUUUCUUAAGUCUGAUGUGAAAGCCCACGGCUCAACCGUGGAGGGUCAUUGGAAACUGGGAAACUUGAGUGCAGAAGAGGAAAGUGGAAUUCCAUGUGUAGCGGUGAAAUGCGCAGAGAUAUGGAGGAACACCAGUGGCGAAGGCGACUUUCUGGUCUGUAACUGACGCUGAUGUGCGAAAGCGUGGGGAUCAAACAGGAUUAGAUACCCUGGUAGUCCACGCCGUAAACGAUGAGUGCUAAGUGUUAGGGGGUUUCCGCCCCUUAGUGCUGCAGCUAACGCAUUAAGCACUCCGC